rnacentral:rRNA from 1 species
UACGUAGGGUGCAAGCGUUGUCCGGAAUUAUUGGGCGUAAAGAGCUCGUAGGUGGCCUGUCGCGUCGGCUGUGAAAACUCGGGGCUCAACUCCGAGCUUGCAGUCGAUACGGGCAGGCUAGAGUUCGGCAGGGGAGACUGGAAUUCCUGGUGUAGCGGUGAAAUGCGCAGAUAUCAGGAGGAACACCGGUGGCGAAGGCGGGUCUCUGGGACGUUACUGACGCUGAGACGCGAAAGCGUGGGGAGCAAACAGG